UGUUAGAAGGACUGGUGGUCGCAUC
rnacentral:piRNA from 1 species